GUCAGAUUAUGUGAAGCGGUGCAAAAACAAUUAAAAUUGCAAAAUAACUGUUUCCUUUCACGCAAGCUUACACCAAAAAUAAAGUGUCUAUAUUUUGGCGCUGUAAAUUACCUUGUUGAACUUGUGUCCCAUAAUGUUUGGGUUACUGAAAUAUCAGUUAUUGUUUUUGUACCCACAAAACGAACCCACCAACUUGAAUUAAAAGUACACAACUCCCACAAAAUCUACUGCAACUUAUAUAAGUUAAAUAAAUUAUAUAAUGACUGUAAUUGCACCGCUGGCUGCAAAAACUAAUCAAAUAGCAAUCACCAUUUGCAGUUGGAAAAAUGCGCUAAUGUGGUGAAGCCAGCCGAAUUUCAUAUUGAUAUUUGAACAAAUUAUCAUUGGAUUUAAUCGAAAUAAUGAAAUAAAAUUGUAAUUCUAGCGUAAAUGUGAAUACAUAAACAAAGCAGAUUAGUUAAAAGUUUGCAUUCACAUAUUGCAUAAAUCAUUUCUGGAUUACGGCUAUAAUUGGACAAACAAUAAAUGGAUAUCGUCGGUUGCUGCAGAUCAACACUUCUUCACUAACUUGGAACCACCUUUUCAAAACUUUUACUGUAGCAAAUCAGUGACGCAGAAAGCUGCAAAGCAACGAACAAACAAAUGCAAGUAAACACAAAUAAAAACUGUCAAUAAAAUCAAAAAAGGUAAACAAAAGGAGGAAUGAAAAGAACAAUAAUCGAACUCACUGCAGAGGAAGGGAAUAAAUAUGUAACAAGGUCACUCGAACAGAAAAAUUGGCAGGAAGUGAAAAUAAAUUUGGUUUCAUUCCAAUCGUUGCUGCAAUUCAAGAAAUGAUUUAUGCUGAGUACGAGCAGAGUGCAACGCUGGAAUGCAUGACGCGAUUAUAGCCGAGUUAACAACAACGCGCCAGUAGUUUCUUCUUUUCGCUACGUGGCGCCAAUUGGAUAUUCCAAGCGAAGCCAGGUCCUUCUCCAUAUGGUCCUUCCAACGGAGUGGAGGUCUUCCUCUUCCUCUGCUUCCACCGGCGGGUACUGCGUCGAAUACUUUCAGAGCUCCGGACAACAUGACCUAGACAGCGUAGCCGGACCAUAAAUCUUUCGCAGAACCAUAUUGAUAUUAUCUCAGUAAAUUAUCAUUGUAUUUAAACGAAACAUCGAAAUGAGUUUGUAAUUCAAGCGUAAAUGUGUAUAGAUAAACAAAGCAGAUUGUUGAAAGUCUACUGCGGUCGGACAAUAGAAGGAGUGGAAAACAGGUACGAAUAUCUGUAGACUAGAUACCAAAAUGUUUGUAAAGAAUGAUCUGCUCAACGUAAAUUAAAACGAGGCUAUCUAAGAUAUUUAUACAUAAAAUUAUAUUCAAGCGGCAUUACUUUAGGUACUUGUGUCAUCGCUCGCCCAGCUAGACUCAGUCUAUGCACCAACACGUCUUCGUUAUUUGAAUGAGGCUGAAAUAAAAUAACUGUGUGCAUACUGAAUACUGCAUUCCAUUACUUCAGGCUGUCACCAUAAAUUUUCACAUACGCAGCACAUGACAGAUGUCACAGGUUCGCAGCAAUUCACGCUUUGCGCAAAACGCUUCGCAAUAACUCAGUUCAUACUUUUCAGUUUAUUUGUACUUCUGGUUACAGUAAAUUAUGGUAUUUAGCUUAAAUCACUGUGAAAUAUUCAAGAUAUCUGUAAGAAAAAUAUUAAACUAAACACUAAAUUGUAAAAUUA